UUUACAAACUAGAUUUGAAAUUCGAGAAAAGGUUUAUAAUGUGAGAGGCUUUGGAGAAUUCAAAUUACCCAGAACUCGAACAACCCGUAAAGGCUUUUGUGUGUCUGUAUGUGGUGUGAAAAUCUGGAACAGUCUGAGUUUACAAUUGAAACAAUGCAAAAAUAUUCAUAGAUUUAAAUUUCUCUACAAACAGUUGGUCUGGUCACAGUAUACUCAAUGAUGCUUUUAGUGUGCUCUGUAAUGUCUGUCCUCUUACCAUUGCUGGUAUGGAUUCAAAAAAAAAAAAAAAAGAGUGUGCGUAUGUAUGUGCAUAUAUGUACAUGUGUGUGUAGAUAUAUAUGUAUGUAUAUGUAUGUGUGUAUGUGUGUGUUCGUUACUUGUAGUUAUUACUGCCUGUUACCUGUGGUAAUGCAAUUUAUAAUUUAUAUAUUCUGUAUUCAGUUAUGAAGGCUCUAAUUGUUGUUUGCGAGCUGCAGUUUAGAUGCUUGUAUGUGCCCGGGGCUGUUGAUGGGUCUGUAUGCAAUGAUGGGCGUAGCUGCGGGAAGUUUGUUUUUUUUGUUGAUGAGUGAGUAUAGGGGUGGGAUUUAAUAAGUUUUCUUCGUCCCACUCCUUUUUCAGGCAAUUUUUGUUUUUUGUUUUGUGCAUUUUAUGUUCAAUAUCGGUAUUUGUUGUGCCUGGAAAUGAACAAAUAAAUGAAUGAAAUGAAUGAAUGAAAAUACAUCAAUGACCUCCUGACCCAGCAUGAACCUUCCAGAUCCCUCAGGUCAUCUGGAUCCGGUCUUUUAUCAGUUCCCAGAGUCAGAACCAGACACGGAGAAGCUGCAUUCAGCUUUUAUGCUCCUUAUAUCUGGAACAAACUCCCAGAAAGCCUCAGAUCAGCUGAAACACUCAGUUUAUUUAAAUCCAGGUUGAAGACUCACCUGUUCUCAGCUGCAUUUGAAUAAAGCACCAAAUACACACUGUUUUACUUUUAAGCUUAAAUUUCAAAACUUACAUUUUAACUACUGAUUUUAUCUACUGUUCUGUUUGUUUGUUUUAAUCAAUUUUAAAUCAUGCUUUUUAUUUGUUCUUGUUUCUAAUGUCUCUGUAAAGCACUUUGAAUCACCUUGUUGUUGAAUUGUGCUAUACAAAUAAACUUGCCUUGCCCCCCUGACACUUUAUUUGGUACAGCUGGUUAGCACCUGAUUGGACGUCAGUCAGGUUCCAGAAAG
ensembl:lncRNA